rnacentral:lncRNA from 11 species
CCUGCACCUGGUGGAACAUGAAUUUGUCCUCAGACCAUCUUUGCAGAAUUGCUUUCUUGACUGCCUGGAACUGAGGGUUAUCCAGUGGCUCUCUUAAUUUCAUGGAGCUUGGUUGGUGAAAUUGAAAGUCAGUGUAACAUAUUGAUGGAUUCGGUGCCAGAGUCCUUUUCUUCGGGUCCAUUGCUGUUGGAUGUAUAACCUCUGUAGCAGAAGCUGUAUAUGUCUGAGUGUCAACUGCUGGAGACAGACAACCAGACAACCUAACAUUCGUGGAGAUGCUAGAAACACUUGGGUGCUCACUGGUGAAGAUGGGAUGGUAGACACAAUUGUCCCUUGCUCCAGUUCAUCAAGGUCACAGUCCAGUUUAUUGACCUGA